GCAGGUUUAAACGAAUUCGCCCUUAGCCCGAUAUUGAUGCCGCGCGCGACGAUCCAGAGGUUGAUGUGAGGCGCCAUGUCCUCAUGCGCCUCGUCGGCGCGGCCGAGCCAGUCGCCGCCCGCGUUGGCGGGUUCGUGCAGCGGGCCGGUGCCGAGCUUGCGGCGGGCCUUCACCGGACCCGGCUUGACGGUGUCGAAGCCCCAUUCGCCGGUUCCGAAAUCGGUGAUGACCCGGCCCCAGCCGCGGAAGCCGUCCUCGACGUCGCCCUCGGACUCGGGGUGCGCGUAGACGCCGGAACAUUGGCCUGCCACGCCUCGAUC
rnacentral:rRNA from 1 species